rnacentral:lncRNA from 1 species
AAAAAUAUGUAAUGUUAUUGUGCACAUGCAUAUCCAUCAAUCAAUUGAGCUCAACUUGUAUGAGGUAAACAUUACAAAUGAAGAGAAAGGAGAAGAUUAUGCAUUCUUCUCAAGAGAACAUAAACCCUUCUAUUCUCCAGGACAGUCCAGGUGGUGGGACAUACACAAUUCUCGAUAAAUUUUAAAAUCACAUGAUCAUAGAAAAUAUCUUCCCUGAUCCCAAUGGAAUGCAACUAGAAUUCAAGGAGAGAAGGAAAAUCUUCCAUUACACAACAUGCUCUUCUACAACUAAUGGGUUAAAGAGGGAAUCACUAGGAAAACUAGAUAGGAUUGAAAUGUAAAGGAAACAAGAUACAAUACAACAAAACACUGACAGGAAGCAAAAACCAGUUCUUAGUGGGAAACUUAGAGGGGUAGUACUUAUAAUCAAAGAGAAGACAAGAGCUCAAGUACAAUGUAACUUCUCAACCUGGGACUAGAAAGAUAAGAGCAGGCUGAAUGCAAAGCCCCCCAGAAAGGAAAAACAGAGCUUCAUUACCUCUUAGAAAGGCAAUGUGAUUGUGAGAGGGGAAAAAAAGAAAUGAAAAACAGAGUGGGAAAACAGCUGAAUACUCACUCAAACCAAAUACUGCUUCUCAGAAACUGUAAGCAAUUGUCCUAAAUCAUUAGCUGGACUAAGCACAAAUAGAGAGAAGACACCAACCACUAAAUUCAGACAUGAUAGCAGGAAACUACUGAUUUUACAGAAAUAAAAAUGGCAACAAGAUAUUACCCUAAAUUACUGUACAACAGCGAAUAAGAUAAUCUGAAUAACAGGAAAAUUUAAUAGAAACACAAAUUACAAACUGAUUCAAGGUCAGUAUGCAAAACAUGAUCAACUGCAACAACUUAAGAGAGACAAUUUGUAAUCAAACUCCCCCCAAAAGAAAGGUGGAUUGUGUGAUAUACUGGUGGAUUCUAUCAAAAAUUUUAAAUCAUACUAUGUACACCAAUAAAAAAGAUAAGCACUCAGCCACACAAAAGAGCAAAAUGGUGAUACUUGCUACAACUUAGAUGAGUCUCCAAUGCAUUAUAUAGAAUAAAAGAAGCCAGAAACAAAAGGUUGCAUGUGCCACAAUGUCUUUCAUUAUUUAUCCACGAUGGGAAGACCCAUGCAGACAGAAAUCAGAGUGUAGGGGUAUGGAAGAGGGGUGUGUUCAUUUCAUGGUACAUAUACUUUUGAGAAAAAAUUAAUAGGUUUUGAAAUUGGAGACAGAUACGAUCACAGAACACAGUAAAUGCUAUAAAUACCAAUAAAGUUAACUUCAAGAAGGUUCACUGUAUGGUAUGUGAAUUUCAUCUCAAUUUUCUAAAAGACAAUGAUGAGACACAAAUUUAUUGCAAUUCAUGUCAGAAUUCCACACUGGGUUUUUGCUGAAACUGACAAUCUCAUCUUGAAAUUGAUAUGGAAAUUCAAGGGACCUAGAAUUGCCUAAAAGUCCUGAACACCAACAACACAGUUGGAGAACUCACAUUCCUAUUUCAAAACAUGAAACAAAGGAACACUGAAGAGGACAAGACGUCAGGAUGCUGAACCUCCUGGCAUAGGGUGGACAUACCCAUCGUGGAGCAGCAUGAGAGUCCACAUACAAAGCCUCACAUUUAUAGUAACUGGUCGUUGACAGGGUGCCAAGGAAAUUCAAUGGAAAUAAAUACCCUAUUAACUCAUGCUGCAUUGACAGCACAUUCCUGCUUACAGGGUCCCUGACAGACACCAUCUCUAACUCUGUGUUAUAUGUGACUUCAUUUAAAGCUGCAUUCAACAAGGCUUCUCUCUUCUCUGCACCAAUCUUGCCCACACCACCAUCUACAAGACUCAACACAUCUUCAAUUUACUCUUCUGUCCACGCUGCACAUGUCAAGGUCUGUUUCAGUCCACAGGACAUUCAGGUGGUGCACCUGGGGUAAGCUGCUAAUUUCUAUGUCCCCAAAACCUGUGCAGAGAUGAACUCCAUCCUCAUGUCAUGGCGAGGUAUUUUAUAUGUUAUAACUUGACUGGAAAUUGUCUUUUCGGCAGCCACAUCCUUCCUUUUGUUUCAUUAUUAAUUUGUGUCAUCUCUUCUUUCUUUGAGUCAGUCUAACUGACAAUCUGUGCAUUUAUUAACUCUCUCAAAAACCUAGGUGUGCAUUCUUUCUCCUCACAUAGAUUUUUAUCUAAAGAAUAGAGUCAGAAUAUUCUGAUUAUUUAAUAAUUGCAUGUUUUCCCUGAUGCUUCCUGGAGAUUCAUGAUACACUGGGUCAUCAAAGUGCUUCAUAAGCACUAUUGUCCUGAUCAUGUAACAUUUCUACAAAUUUAAAGGGGCUCAGAAAACCACAACAUGAUCAAGGAAUCAAAAAACUAGGCUGAUGGCAACACUUUACCUGAGCCAUUUUUAUCAGGAAACAGUCAAUGAAAUCCCGAGGAUCGUUAACAUCCAGGGAUUCUUCAUGUUCUUUUACUUUCUCCAUAAUAUAAUUUCUAAUAUAAUCAGUAUUUUUGAACAAAAUGUGAUGACUUCCUGGAAGAUAAUCAAUGAGAGCAGGGAAAUUAUUGUAGACCUAGAAGAGAAAACAAUAAUAUAUUUAUAAA